rnacentral:tRNA from 1 species
UGAGUUGUGGCUCAGCGGUAGAGUGCUCACCUAGUUUGUGUGAGGCCCUGGGUUUGAUCCUCAGCACCAAAU